CUCCAGACUCCUACGGGAGGCAGCAGUGGGGAAUAUUGCACAAUGGGGGAAACCCUGAUGCAGCGACGCCGCGUGAGCGAGGAAGUAUUUCGGUAUGUAAAGCUCUGUCAGCAGGGAAGAAGAAUGACGGUACCUGAAGAAGAAGCACCGGCUAAAUACGUGCCAGCAGCCGCGGUAAUACGUAUGGUGCAAGCGUUAUCCGGAUUUACUGGGUGUAAAGGGAGCGCAGGCGGUUCUGCAAGUCUGAUGUGAAAGCCCGGGGCUCAACCGCGGGACUGCAUUGGAAACUGCGGGACUGGAGUAUCGGAGGGGGAAGCGGAAUUCCUGGUGUAGCGGUGAAAUGCGUAGAUAUCAGGAGGAACACCGGUGGCGAAGGCGGCCUGCUGGACUGCGACUGACGUUGAGGCCCGAAAGCGUGGGGAGCAAACAGGAUUAGAUACCCGUGUAAAA
rnacentral:rRNA from 1 species